rnacentral:lncRNA from 1 species
CGGGGUGCAGCCGAAAGCACGGUGGUCUGAUGUAGGUCUCAGUACAGCGGUGUCCACGAAAAACGUGUCAAGAAUGAUUUAAAGUGUUAGAGAUGCAUAUUCCUCUUGUGGCUGAGUCUGAAUUGUGUGCCCAUGAAGCUGAAGUGCCAAGUGAGCUGCUAAAUGUAACUGCUCUGGUUUUUUGGAGCUUCUGUUUAGUGCUAGAGAAGCUUCUGUGGGCCAGUCCUUAGCCCCAGCUGUUUGUGCUUCAACCCAUCCCAGAACAUGAUUCUAUCUUAUUUUGUAUGCCAACUGAAUAUCACCGGAUGAGACAAAAAUGAACAGGAAGGAGAAUAAAGUGAGAACUGUAAAGGACUGCUGCCUCAGAACUGCUGUUGCCAUAGAGCUGCUAACAAGGAAAAAAACUGCAGCAUGGAUUUCUUGUGCUGUUGAAGGUAAGAUGAGGGCACAGCAAAGACUGUAGGAGGGGGAGGGGAGGCGAGGCAGAGGGAGGGAGAAGAGGAAGAAAGUCUGCGUCCUUGCUGUCUAAAAAAGGAAAUUCAGUGUCAGUGUUCAUGAGCAGAACUGCUGGUGCAGAAGAACAAAGCUAUCUCAGUUGUUUAGGGUAGCAGGAGUGAUGAGCAAGCAAGCACACUCCCAUGCUUUCAGGAGGAAAUGCUGCAAAGAAAGGAGGGAGAAGAAGAGUGACUUUUUCCUUUAGAAAAUACUCACUGCUGCUUCAAGGUAGCUGCUUUUUGAUACUACUUUGGCAUUAAUGUUAUUACCCUGAGUAAAGACAGCCAUGAAAAAACUCAGUAGGGAGAGAAACAACAAGAAAAAGUGUUGGUAAAAAAAUCAGCAUAAUCUUGAGCUGAUGAAUGCAGUUUGUAUGUAUUAAAAUGUCUCAGUUGUUACAUUCAUCUGUGCAGUGCUGUGAAACCUUUCAAAACGCAAGUGAAAUUAUGUUUUUUGUGGUAAGAUUGUUGUGAUAUGUUGAUGUGUUAUCAACCUUUUAUCAAUGAUCUUUUGUCUUCUGUUAUCAAAGUAGAUGUCUUUUGAGUGGAAAUGUAUAGCAAAUAAAUAAAAAUUUAUAUUAAAUACUCA